AAUGGAAUGGACGCGAAUGGAAUGGAGUCGAAUGGAAUGGAACCAAAUGGAAUGAAAUGGAAUGGAAUUGUAAGGAAUAGAAUGGAAUGGAUUGUAAUGGAAAGAUAUCAAAUGGAAUGGAAUGGAAUUAUUGAAUGGAAUCGAAUGGAAUGGAAUCAAAUGGAAUGGACCAGAAUGGAAUGGACUGGAAUAGAGUGGACUCGAAUGGAAUGGAAUCAAUUGGAAUGGACUGGAAUGGAAUGGACUCUAAUGGAAUGGACUGGAGCAUAAUGGAAUCGAAC
rnacentral:lncRNA from 1 species